CGUGAGAUGUUGGGUUAAGUCCUCUAACGAGCGCAACCCCUAUGUUGUGUUAACACGUUCACAACAAACUGCCCCGGUUAACGGGGAGGAAGGUGGGGAUGACGUCAAGUCAGCAUGGCCCUUAUGCCUUGGGCUACACACGUGCUACAAUGGGGUGCAACAAAGAGUCGCUAAAUCGCGAGAUGGAGCUAAUCUCAUCAAACCACCCCCCAGUUCGGAUUGCAGGCUGCAACUCGCCUGCAUGAAGCCGGAAUCGCUAGUAAACGCGCGUCAGCCAUAGUGCGUUGAAUACGUUCUCGGGUUUUGUACACACCGCCCGUCACGCCAAGAGAGUCGAUAAUACCCGAAGGCGCUUGAAGCGUCCGAAGGUAGGAUCGAUGAUAGGGGCGAAGUCGUAACAAGGCAGCCGUAGCGGAAGCUGUGGCUGGAUCACCUCCUUUCUAGGGAGUAA
rnacentral:rRNA from 1 species